AUUCAAACAUAAAUUGCAGUCUGAAAGGGCCAAAUGAAAGACCAAAAAUGCAUACAGGACUCCUAAAUCAAUAGAAAAUUUUACUCUACUUUGACUAAUUUGAAGCACCAACUUAAGCACAAAAUACCCAGACAUCAAAAUGUUAAAAUAUCCUAGAUAGUAUUUUCCGAUAUAUCCAAAAAGUAUAUCCUAGAUAGGCCUCGUGGGAUAUAUAAAGCUAAAAAAUCUUGGCUAUAAGAUCAACAGAAAGCUUGUAUAUAAGUUGUCUGAAGGCUGAAUAAACUCAACUAUAAUCUUCUUCCAAUGCACACAUCAAACAUUCUUAUAAUGGUUGUACUGCUCUCGUGAAUGAUGUCAAUCCAUUCUUUAAACCCUUUUUCCCACGUUGCAUUUCUUUCUGAUUAAAAAAUACUUUUUUCUUAUCUGCACUCACCCAGCACAUACAGCGUAUUGGUCCACAAGCGGAUAUGCCACUAAAACAGUAACAUAGAGGGUACUCAAACAAAUACUCUCCCCACCAAGUCAUAGCGUGAUGUUCACAAUCCAGAGUAUUAAUUGCUUACAAUAUCGAUUGCUUCCAAACCCUAAAUGCAGAUAUUCCAAAAGGUUUACAUGCAUGGUCUGAUUACCAGAUAUAACAAGUGAAUGGGUAAUAAUUAACCCUAAAAGGUAAUAAAGAAUCAGAAAUCAUUUGAACCACCACAAGGAUUGAUAAAAUAGUACACAACCCUUCCAUUCAAUUCCCAAGAGUUAAGAAAACACUCCCAGAUUCAAUAUAGGUAAUUACGAGAAAAUUGUCCAUAGUGGCUAAAAACAAAAUAGACAAGAAAAAGUGUGUACGGAAAACGGUAGAUCAGCUUACAUGGUGGGAGAAUCUGAGGGAACA
rnacentral:misc_RNA from 1 species